UCUCACUGCCGCGUGAGUAUGCAGAUCCGUUGACAUCUCAUCGAGAUGAGCAUCAAUAAUGCUGAUAGGGUAUGUAAACAAAGAAGGUGAGAAGAAAUGAAGUGAUCGCGAUUGGAGCGAAAUGUCAGGUAGAGGAAUCAUAGAAAAAGGAGGCAAUAUAGAGUGUUAGUAGAAAGUGUUUAAAGUUGCGAGAUAGUUGAAUUAAAGUGGAUUGUGGACGGUUUUCUCAAGUGAACGAAGUUGCUUGGAGAUAGAACGGCACAAGAUUUUAAUAGUGAAGGAAACUAUACCGCUUUACGUGGACGAAGAUAAACGAGGUUAGGAAAGGGAGAUAAGUGCGAAUAGUGACAACACGAGAAUUAAUCGUGCGUGACGUUGUACGGAGUAAAAGCGAAAGGGACGAAUACAGAUCAGUUGGUGACAAACAACAGAGAUUAGAUUAAAUAUCAAGUAAGUGGCAUAAAAGAGAGAACAAAUUAAAACUUAUGUUAUCUAGCACAUGCAUUACAAUAUUUGUAUACUUGAAAGUAAUUUAAAAAUAAUCAAAAUUUCAGUAUCGUAUUGUUGGUUUGGAAAGGUGUAACGAGGAGGAAGAACGGCAAAGUGAAAGGGAAACAAACAAUUGUAAGUUACAAAUUAAAAGACAAUAUGUUAGUUGUAUGUACUGAAUCAUAAUUAAAUUGGAUUCCAGCUUUGAUCUGCUGAACAUAAAGCUGAUUUCAAAGGGUUUGUUUUACCGUUAGUUCCGAACAAAAUCAAAGAAUUGUUUCCGGACGGAACUUAGCAAAAUGGCUUCCAAGUCACCCGAAGGCGAUGUUACCGUCAGCUGCUUGAUCUGUAGCGGGUCGUCGAGCGAAGAU